rnacentral:lncRNA from 1 species
GUGAUGACAUGGCUGAGUUACUACUAAAUUCUCAGUGUCAUUUGUUGCUGUUUGAAUAUGGAAAUAAAGUUUGGAAGAUGAACCAGUUUAAAUGGAUAAAAGAAAACAUUAAGUAAUAGUAAGGUUAAAAUAGAAACUUGGAAGAGGUAAAAAAAAUUAUUCAGAAACAGGAUAACUUUCCAAAUGAACCUUGAGGAACCCUAGAGUAACCUCACCUUUCUUGUGAAGUCUAAGUUGUAAAACGUUAUAUGUGUACACAAUCACGAUCAAA